rnacentral:miRNA from 1 species
UGACAACGAUAGAGAGCACGC